GUUGAGAAUAAAGGUUUCGGGCCUGCCCCCUUACUGAGCACAGACCCUUGGUCAAGCAGUAAACUUCUCUGGAAGGAAGACCAACACAGGCAUAAAAAUGAAUACAAUUUGGAUAUUGUGCUUUGCGGUGCUGAUCAUAACCAUACCCUUUUCAACACAGGAGAGCCCUAAUAAGAACAGAAGUGGCUCAUCCAGCGGUGGUUCCACUAGUCCUUCCACAAAUUCCAGCGCUGUAGGAUUGGGUCCUGUGCCAACAACACUGUAUCUGCUGAUCCCAGCUGCCACCCUGGGCUUCAUCCACACACAGUAUAUGCUAAACUGAUGGGUGGAGAGUGUUCGCCAUAGAUGACCAAGAAUGAGACAGUGGCAAAAUGGACAGCCGUUCACCCAAAGAGCAAACUUUUCCACAAUUCAUGAAGAUAUAAUAUAUAAAAACAGCUCGUUUUUUAAUGGACUUUUAACUAAUGAAAAUGAAUACAGACAUCUACUGCAACCCCACAGAGGGUCCUCACACUAAACCACACCCUUGGGCCCUUUGUUGCGUUUUGCCUCAGAGUCACUGUUUUAGGGCUCACAUACUCAAUGGCAACUUCUCUUGGAAGAGUUUGUUUCUCAUAUAUGCUCAGCAUAUUUGAUUAUGAUCAAGCAGGUUAAAGAAGUCAAUUACUUAAAUCAGUAAUCACUGCGCAUUUCAAAAUAACAGCCCAAUUUCCAAUAUAAUGAUAUUUAUGUGUACUACAAAUUUUAUUAUAUGAAUGUGAUCAAUGUAAUCAAUUUCAGAAUGUGUCAGUACUGUAUAUGCACAAUUAAAGUGGAUGAUUGUAUAUCUUGUGUGUGUCAUCUUUUAUUCAACUUGGUAUUAAAAUGUGUUCUCUUAAGAUAGUUUUAGUAAUGCUUCUAGUCUGUAGAGUGGAAAAGAGGAGUAUAGACCGAAGUGUGUUUGAAAGUUUGAGAACACAACUUUUAUUUUGAGAUUUCCUGAGACAGAGAUGAAGGCGCUGUACAGAGGAUGUGAUCAUCAGGUGUUUAGACGUCACACUUCAGUCACUGUAUAAAACACCCCUCCUGUCCUGCAUCACUGAACACAGACUCUCUACCCCUAAGAAAAGGUCUCUGGAAGAAGAAGAAGAAGAAGAAGAAGAAGAAGGCAGCAUAAAAAUGAAUAAAAUAUUGAUAUUGUGCCUUGGGAUACUGCUUAUAAACAUACCCUUUUCAUCUCAGGAUAAAGAAAAAACAGACAGCACCACGGUAAAAACUCAAACCGCCACUACAACAGUUCGUCCUUCGGCCAGCGGCGCAGGAUUAGGUCCGUCACCCACCGCGCUGAGUCUGCUGAUCCCAGCAGCCAUUCUGGGCUUCAUCCACAGUAGAUCCUAAACUGGCUGGAGAAUGUUUAGAUGACCAAGAUGAGCAAAGAUGAGCAGACAGUCACCUGAAGAGCCAACAUUUCCACAAUUCUUGAAGACAGAAGACACAGAAAAAUGACACAACAACUCAUAAUUGAUUUUUGUUUGAAAAACUGGGAAUUUAAAGGAAAUUUGCCACUGUACCAAGGGUCCUCCAAACCCCAACAAAACCACACAGUUGGGCUCUCGGUUGUUUUGUCGCCAUCAAGUCACUGUUUUAGAUAGGGCUCAUCACAACUUCUCUAGUAAGAUUAUGAAUCUGACCACUGUAAUCCAUUUCCUCCACAAUGUUUUUGUAAUUAUUGCGAUGAGCUAUUAAUUGUAAUAGCUAAGAAUGUGUCUAUAUGCACAAUUAAAGUGGAUGAUUGUA